GACGUAGGGCGCGAGCGUUGUCCGGAUUUAUUGGGCGUAAAGAGCUCGUAGGCGGCUUGUCGCGUCGACUGUGAAAUCCCGAGGCUCAACUUCGGGCUUGCAGUCGAUACGGGCAGGCUAGAGUUCGGUAGGGGAGACUGGAAUUCCUGGUGUAGCGGUGAAAUGCGCAGAUAUCAGGAGGAACACCGAUGGCGAAGGCAGGUCUCUGGGCCGAUACUGACGCUGAGAAGCGAAGCGUGGGGAGCGAACAGG
rnacentral:rRNA from 1 species